UUGUAAUCUUACUCUCUAUAUACCAAAGUGAUUUACCUAGGAAUACAGUUGCACUUCACUGAAAACUAAUGAUGUGUUGAUGAGUUCAAUGAAUCCUUCGAUUCCUUUGGUUUUCUUGGCGAACUGACGUCCGACAAUCAAUGACCCGUUGACGUGUACCUGCAAUACGCCAUUGCCGUAGUGACUGUGUAAACAGAUCUAUUUUUGGACGAAACUCAGCCCCUCACAAACUUUGGUCCAUUUCGCCAAUGAUGACACUGCUUCUAGACUGUACCACAGCACUUUAAGCUGUAGCAGCGCUAAGCAAGAGUCAAGACAAAUGUCCGCUGCCAGCCGCUGCUGGACCAACCCCCUCGCCCGCCCCCCAUCAUGAUAUCAGAUUCAGAGGCCUGGCUGAGCCCUGUGAUUUAGCCAAAUUCAAUAUGAUUCUUUUCUACUGUGAUGUUAAGGCCCUUGUGUCAUGCAGCGUAUUCGGUAGCACCGGUACACAACUUAUGUUAAACCGCGACGUCUGCUGCAAUUCAAAUUGCAUAUGACGCCAACGGAAUUGUGACGACUUGUUUCUCAAAUCUUUUAGUGAACAGUGAUCACGGGCUGUGGGAAUUGCGAAGGGAUGGUGUAGAGUAUCGCCACAACAAUGUUGAUAUGAUCACUCGUCGUUUCAGCGGGCAUGACUUGGUACAUCCAGUGACCCAGCAAAAAGUAGCCCUGGUACAGCCAGAAGUAGCAACAAAUCGCAAAAGGGGAUCCUUGUCUGACUGGUGGCUGGACAACAAUGACACUUGUUGGAAAAGGAAGGACCAAAGGUGCCAUCGUCGAGGGCCCAGAUACAUGAAGAGAUUAAAGCCUGGGCUGCACACAAUCCUGUUAGUAACAAAAAAAGAAGGAAAAAAUGCUGUCCCAUUUGUCCAUAUGCCCAGCGCCAGAACCCAUUUAUACAUCUGGGUAGUGAGAAAAUCUAGGAAGAAGUCGCCACCCACUGAUGAUCUCAUCCAAGUUUACCAAAGACUCCAAAGCAGUGCAGGAGAGGAAUGGUGGCCUGUUCGAACAGGCAUGGACUGAAUCGCCAGCUCUCAUCUCCCUAGUCACUCCGAUGGCCACGUGUCGCUCCUCGAUCAACAGCGAUUUCAAUAAAUGAUGCGUUGAUGUGGGCAAAAAGUGAAUCCUUUCUCGCCUUUGAACUCUGGUGUUCGUCAUAUCAAUCCAUUUUGAUUGUCGAGCAACUUGUGGGCACACCUCAACUUGUUAGUGGGAAGUAAUUUGCAAUAGAGUGACUUACUUUUAUUGCUGUAUUUUUUCACUUCACAUCAUUGUUAUUUUGAAAAAGCCUGCCAAAAUUCUGUUGACUGUUUGUUGUCGACAAGAGUCUAUGUUUCAUGAAUAACAAGGCUGUGUUCUGUACAUUGUA